rnacentral:rRNA from 1 species
UUCCGGUUGAUCCUGCCAGACCCGACUGCUAUCAGAGUGGGAUUAAGCCAUGCGAGUCAACGUAGCAAUACGUGGCGCACGGCUCAGUAACACGUAGUCAACAUGCCCAAAGGACGUGGAUAACCUCGGGAAACUGAGUCUAAACCGCGAUGAGUCAAGAUUCCUGGAAUGGUUCCUGACUGAAAUCUAUAUGGCCUUUGGAUUGGACUGCGGCCGAUCAGGCUGUUGGUGAGGUAAUGGCCCACCAAACCUGUAACCGGUACGGGCUCUGAGAGGAGGAGCCCGGAGAUGGGCACUGAGACAAGGGCCCAGGCCCUAUGGGGCGCAGCAGGCGCGAAACCUCUGCAAUAGGCGAAAGCCUGACAGGGUUACUCUGAGUGAUUUUCGUUAAGAAAGUCUUUUGGCACCUCUAAAAAUGGUGCAGAAUAAGGGGUGGGCAAGUCUGGUGUCAGCCGCCGCGGUAAUACCAGCACCCCGAGUGGUCGGGACGAUUAUUGGGCCUAAAGCAUCCGUAGCCGGUUCUGCAAGUCCCCCGUUAAAUCCAACUGCUCAACAGGUGGGCUGCGGAGGAUACUACAGAGCUAGGAGGCAGGAGAGGCAAGCGGUACUCAGUGGGUAGGGGUAAAAUCCGUUGAUCCAUUGAAGACCACCAGUGGCGAAGGCGGCUUGCCAGAAUGCGCUCGACGGUGAGGGAUGAAAGCUGGGGGAGCAAACCGGAUUAGAUACCCGGGUAGUCCCAGCCGUAAACGAUGCAGACUCGGUGAUGGGUUGGCUUCGCGCUAACCCAGUGCCGCAGGGAAGCCGUUAAGUCUGCCGCCUGGGUAGUACGGUCGCAAGACUGAAACUUAAAGGAAUUGGCGGGGGAGCACCACAAGGGGUGAAGCCUGCGGUUCAAUUGGAGUCAACGCCGGG